CAUAGGCUCUCAACACACACAAAAUCUUUAAUGAUAGUUUUGCAUUGUAUUUGUCUAUUUUGGUUGAAAAAUAGAGCAUUUUUCUAAAUUUUAGAGGUCUGGAAACUUUAGAGAUAUAUUGGAGGGGGUACUCAGGGUGUGAAGGCACGCUGGGGGAAAAUGGCUAUCUCUAGGUCUGGCUACCCAAGCGGCUUCGGUUUACCUUAUAAUUAUACCUCAAACCCCAAAGUAAAUACUCUAGAAGCUGAUUAAAGAUAACCAAAAAUAUUGUUUAUUGAAAACAGGAAACAGUCCUUUUAAUGUAUUAGAAAUAAUAUGAGGUAAAAUCACUGAAAUUAUACAGAAAUAAAACUAUAUUGAUUGAGAAUGAAAGCUAUAGAGACUAUAAAGGAUUAACACACAAGCUAUGAGGAAAGGUAGGUACUAUAGGGUAAGUACAAGGCUAUGAUAAGCACUAUCUAUAAUGACUUUAGUGGUAAAUACCAGCUAUAGUGAACUAUCUAUAAUAACUCUGAGGUAAACUAUAAGGUGAUAAGCUAUAAGGUAAGUACAUAAGGUAAGUACAAGGUGAACUAUAAGCUUUGCUAUCUUUGAGGUAAAUACCUAAAGCUAUGAUGUGACUAUAAGGUAAGUACUUGGCUAUGAUGAGCUCUAUCUGUAAUGGUAAGUAUGAGGCUAUGAGGUAAAUACCUAAAGCUAUGAUGUGACUAUAAGGUAAGUACAAGGCUAUGAGGUAAACUGUAAGGUAAGUACAAGGCUAUGAGGUAAACUGUAAGGUAAGUACAAGGCUAUGAGGUAAACUGUAAGGUAAGUACAAGGCUAUGAGGUAAACUGUAAGGUAAGUACAAGGCUAUGAGGUAAACUGUAAGGUAAGUACAAGGCUAUGAGGUAAACUGUAAGGUAAGUACAAGGCUAUGAGGUAAACUGUAAGGUAAGUACAAGGCUAUGAGGUAAACUGUAAGGUAAGUACGUGAUUUAUGUUGCCUGUUUGAAUUUGCCAGGUCAAAGAACCCAGACCAAUUCUAAGACCUAUCUCUAAGGUUUUUCUCUGGAAUGGCAAUAGGAGGGGAAAAAGCCUUAGAGAUUAGCUCCCAGGCUGAACCAUCUCAUCCAAACCUAAAGGGGAGUCCCAAGCUCCACCCCCAAAACAGGAGCCAAUGGAACAUUCCUCCCAAGAACAGCAACCAGGAAAUAAGCAAGGGAGGGAAAGCCAAGUAGGACAGCACACAGGGAAAGAAGGAAAACAUGCCGGUUUCAGUUGGACGUGCUGACUCUCCUGGAAGCCAGUUUGAGCUUUGAGAGAGGAGACAGGAGCUGCAGGUAUGCAUGCUCUCCCUCUGCAGUUGGCAGUCUUCCAAGGCACUUUAAGAAGGCGUCACAGUUCCCAGGGAAGGAAGAAGAAUCAACCUGGAGGACUUUAUCACAAACAGCUGGAGAAAGGGAAGAAAGGGUGGAGUUUCAUUGGGUUCUAUUUUUAAAGAAGACAAAGAAUUUAUUCACUCCCAUGACACGAAGAUCGCCUACUCCAGCUUCUAACUCAACCAUCUGCUUAAUUCCCAUCACAUGGGCAGAUCUAUACUUGGCUUCCUAUAUGUAGCACAUUGAUAUUACUGACUAAAUAAGCUGAAUGGCAGAAUACAUGCUUUGCAGAACAUUCUCCAGGUAAGUCUGGAAAAGACAUCCAUCUGCAACUAUCGAUAGUUAUGGUCAAUCAGUGUAGACACUACUGAGCUGAUUGACCAUUAGUCUUAACUUGGUGAAACCCAAUUCCCAGAAUUCAGUACAAGACAGUUUCAAUUUCUUUUCUCAGUGCGAGAGAGUUGUAACUUUUAUUCAUCAUUUUGCAAAUUUUUACUAACUCACACUUUCAGGUGUGAUGAUUACAUUCCAUAAAAUGCUUCUUUAAAUGAUUUCCCUGUCAUUUCAUUUCCAAAUCCCUUAUUUCCAUUUAAAUGUUCAUACCAAUCAAAUGUCUACCUCAGCAUGAAUCUCCUAGUUAAAUUCUCUUUUACUUUCCUAUAACUAGCAGGGAACAAAAAAAAAUGGAAGAAGCACUUCUCAUGAACAUUAUUGCUACCAUCUAAGACUCCUCCUUUCAGCAAUAUGGCGAAGACAGUUGAUUGAUUUUGGAUGAGGACAAAAUCUAUCAUCAUGCUUCAGUUGCAAGGGAACUUGGUUACUCUGGCAACAAGAGUAAGCCCCUAUGGCUUUAAGGUUUUUAAAAUAGUUAUUUGUCUUUUUUAGGAAUCAUGUUUCUUUAUUGUGUGUGACAGCAAUGCUAGCAGCAGGACAAGAUGACAUUCCUUUGUCCUUCCCUCUGACUGGCAAGGAUAAAUAUAAUUGAAAUUAUAUAUGCCUAAAAUGGAAGCUACUGGUUGAUCAACUCCAAUGGUAGGGAAUUAAAUCCUUGGCUAUGUGGACAAAUUAUUACUGUAGUUUUCCCCCUGCCUUGAGAUGAUGAUGAUGAUGAUGACAAGGAUGAUAAUGAUAAUGAUUACCUGCCUUUCCUCAUUGAAAAGCAAGAAAUAACAAUAUGUUAAAAUACAACACAUAUAAUCAUUUAAAAAAACUCAUAACCCAGUUAAAACAUUCAUUUGAAAGAACAUAUAUAUAGGCCGCUUGGUGACAUAGCGGGUUAAACCGCUGAGCUGCUGAAUUUGCUACCGAAAGAUCAGUGGUUCAAAUCCAGGGAGCAGGGUGAGCUCCCGCUGUUAACUCCAGCUUCUGGCAACCUUGCAGUUUGAAAACAUGCAAAUGUGAGUAGAUCAAUGGGUACCACUCCAGCAGGAAGGUAAUAGUGCUCCAUGCAGUCAUGCUGGCCACAUGACCUUGGAGGUGUCUAAGGACAACGCUGGCUCUUUGGCUUAGAAAUGGAGAUGAGCACCACCCCCCAGGGUCAGACAUGACUAGUCUUAAUAUCAAGGGAACCCUUUACCUUUGCCUUAUAUUCUCAAUACAUACUGAACCAGCUAGCACAUAAUGUAAAAUCCAUAAUUUAAAAAUCAUCUGGAUAGGCCUGCUCAGGGGAAAAAAGUAUUUAUUGUGGUGAUAAUUUCUACUGUCAAACUCUCUUUCGGCAGGUCAUUCCACAAUCUACAGUUGACUGAAGAACAAGUUCUAAGGUUGAUCAUUGCAAGCCUCUUCCUGGCUGACUGGAGUAAAUGUCUCCCAGAGGACAUGAAUAUAUAAAACAGAUUAUACAGGAGGUGGAAAUCCUGUAGGUCACCUGGAUAUCCCUCCAGAAUAUUCUCUCCAUAUUUGAAUAUCCCAGUGUCCCAGAAAAAAAAAAACUUAUCUGAGGGGUAUAUGUAUUUUUGUGCAGUACACUAUGCCCUCUUUUGUGCAGAAAAUAGUGAGCUCAUUUUCUAUGGAGAAAAUGAGGGGUGGGGAUGCACAAAAUAACAUGUAUUUUUUCUUAGCCAUGCAAUACUUCUGUGACAAUUGGGGGCAUUCAAAUAUCAAGAAGUUGCACAAAAUUUUCACUGGUCUACUGUUUUUCUUGCUAGACUUCUUCAAAUAUUGGGAAUCUCAUUUUGCAACCUGGUGAUAAAUAACACCAUGUAACAAAUUGAAAACAUUUCAAUUAUUGGUUUGAUAGUUUUAUUUCCUGUUUAAUUGUGUGGUACUUUCUUGGAAAGUAGUUAUUAUACUCCAGAAAUUUCAUUUUUGUGGCUGCCACAAACUAUGUUGAAUUGGUUGCGACUAAAUCUGUCAUUAACAAAAACUAUAGCAAAAUGUGCUGCAGGAUGUCCCACAAAAACAAUAUUUUGCAGUUUUAUAAACUUUCCCCAUGUUUUUAUGACAGAACCAAUUACAAAAUGACAUUUAUAAUCCAGGAACAAAAAUCAUGUUAUGUAGUGUAAUUACAAAUACUCUGUCCAUCUCUAUGUAAGAUGAGUUUAUUUCCUGGGUGCAUGAUGGCAGUGGAGACUCACUCUGGGGUAGUCCCGGGACUAUUGUGAAAUGAGUUUCUGCAGGCCCAAUAUCGCAUUGACCCCAGGCCUUUCAGGAAGCCCUGGAUGUAAUGCGUUAUCUAAUUGAUUUGGAAUAAACCAAGGAAACCUUGUUUUUUUCCUAAUUAAUUUGUUUUUACUGGAGGCGUCAUUUGGAUGACACUAGUAAAAACUGAGACCGGUUCUAGUUUUUGGGCCUAUUUGGAUGGGCCUGCAAUCUUUGGAUUAUGAUUCUCUAUUGAUCAAAGACAAUUUGAAUCUCUAUGUUUAUGUUAUGGGUGAAACAAAAGUUGCACAAUCUAUUAUAAUGCUUUUUGAAUACUAUCUAAAUUGCUGAAAAGUCAUUGUGUAAUUAAUGAAACUAUCAUUAUUUUAACUUCUUAUAGAACUGCACCCACAAUUAUUUGUCAUCUCUCUCAUGCAGUUGGCUCAUUAGCACAAUACUUCAUGUAUCAGGCUGAAAGUUCUAUUAAUGCAGAAUAAACCAAAUGCCAAUAUCUGCCAACAAAACCUGAAUGAGAGAAAUCAAAUUCUGAACAUUUUAAAAACCUUCCUUGCAUUGAGAAAGUGUAAUGUAACUGAAUUUCAGUGCCACAAAUCAUUCAUUAUAGUUAAAGUCUGAGAAGCUGUGGAUUCUUUGAUUCUCUGCAACUCCACAGGCAAUUUCAAAAAGCUAUUUUUAAGGCCAAGUUUCGAUGAUGCUUUAAAUGCUUGUCCUUCUCAACACUAAUCAAACUUCUCCUUCCAUCCUUCCCUAAAGUUAAAAGGCUAGACCUGAAAGAACAGAAGCCCCUUGUGAGUUGCAAGCCAUCUUGGGAAAUAAGGAUGAUCUUUUCUUCUUUCUCUCUAUCUCUUAUUUUGUGACACAUUCCUGAAUCAGAACAGCUGGGGCUGACAUAAACAUUUUUGCAGUCCACUCAACUGGAUUUAGUUUGAAUACACUACAUGCACACACAAACACACACUCUUUCUUUCAUAGUAACAAAGGGAUGGGGAAUAUGUGAUUAUUUAGAUGUUGUUGGUUUAUUCAUUUAAUUUUGGGGAUGUUCUGAUUUACAUAUGUCUCAUGUUGAUUUCAGGGCUUGUUUUGUUGGAAUGGAUGCAUUUUUAUUGUUUCACCAAAAGUGUUCUAAAUAGGCAACAUUUUUGCACAGGGGUUCAUUGAAGGUUGAAAGUCACCGAAGGUAGUAUUAAUUAAACAAAAGUAUAUCCUGUGGAAAUGAUUGAAAAGGAAGCUCCAUGUUUUGUUACCUUGAAGUUAAUUUUAUGUGUAAAAGUAGGGUCAAAACAGAAGAUGUGGAGUUUGCAAUUAGAAGCAGUUUGGAUGUGUUUCCCAUUAGUAAUGAAACUGCUUUACAAAAUUAAGUCUAGGUAAUCUGACUUGCAAAUGAAGUCAAUGUUUACCUUCAAUGAAGAAUCACAUUUACGCUGGUAAAGUCAUCCAAGUUUCCCAUAAUCUGAUAGCCCUCUAUCACUUUCUAUAGAUUUUCUCCACAAUCUGUUUUUUUCAGAACUUCAAAGUGUUGUCUUUUAUGUGCAUCUUUAUGAAGAAAUCCAAGAAAUAAAAAUAUUUACCAUA